rnacentral:sRNA from 1 species
GGGUUAUAUGCCUUUAUUGUCACAGAUAUUAUUUAUCGUUGGGUCAUUGCUAUAGUUAUUUCUUUCCCAACAAAUAAAAAGACAAGCCCGAACUUUCAUUCGGGCUUUUUUUCG